AUUGAACGCUAGCGGCAGGCCUAACACAUGCAAGUCGGGCGGUAACAGGGGAGCUUGCUCCCGCUGACGAGCGGCGGACGGGUGAGUAAAGUCUAGGAAUCUGCCCAGUAGAGGGGGACAACGCGGGGAAACUCGCGCUAAUACCGCAUACGCCCUACGGGGAAAGGUGCUUUCGGUACCGCUAUUGGAUGAGCCUAGAUCGGAUUAGCUAGUUGGUGGGUAAAGGCCUACCAAGGCGACGAUCCGUAGCUGGUCUGAGAGGAUGAUCAGCCACACUGGGACUGAGACACGGCCCAGACUCCUACGGGAGGCAGCAGUGGGGAAUAUUGGACAAUGGGCGCAAGCCUGAUCCAGCCAUGCCGCGUGUGUGAAGAAGGUUUUCGGAUCGUAAAACUCUGUUGUUAGAGAAGAACAAGUGGGAGAGUAACUGUUCCCGCCUUGACGGUAUCUAACCAGAAAGCCACGGCUAACUACGUGCCAGCAGCCGCAGUAAC
rnacentral:rRNA from 1 species